UACGGAGGGUGCAAGCGUUAUCCGGAUUCACUGGGUUUAAAGGGUGCGUAGGCGGGCAGGUAAGUCAGUGGUGAAAUCUUUGGGCUUAACCCGAAAACAGCCAUUGAUACUAUCUGUCUUGAAUAUUGUGGAGGUUUGCGGAAUAUGUCAUGUAGCGGUGAAAUGCUUAGAGAUGACAUAGAACACCUAUUGCGAAGGCAGCAAACUACGCAUAUAUUGACGCUGAGGCACGAAAGCGUGGGGAUCAAACAGG
rnacentral:rRNA from 1 species